AGGGUAACUAAUAUCCUGGACAGAGAAGUAAUGAUGCCAAGAUUUUGCACCUUUACCUCCAAAACAAAUUCCAUAUCUUUGAAUCUCAGUGUCUCCAUUCUCUCCCUUAAUUGAGAUGUGCCUUUCUCUCUGAGCUAAAAGAGUUGUUCAGUCUUUGGGAAGAGCUGCUUAAUAAGUGAUCAUCACUGAAAUAUUGACAAUUUAAGGAUUAGUAGUGGGGCAGAAAACAGUUGGCAUAAUUUGAGCACCUGGUGGUUGCUGUAGAAUGACUUGCUGUUGAACAGGGGUAACUACUUUUAAUCUGGUUCAGGUUUAAAAGAAGCCAGGUUAGAGACACAGGUUGGCUGUAUCUGCAUUAAUAUGGUAGCCACUUAGACACGUGGCUAUCAAACACCUGAAAUACGGCCACGGCGAUGAGGAACUGAAUUUCAAAUUUCAUAUAAUUCUUAAAAUUGAUAUUUGAUUCAGCUAUUGGAAAACUUAAAUACAUUUGGAAACAACUUGGGCACGUGUGUGCACUUUUUAAACUAAAUUUUAUACAAUCCAAAUACAGAUUAUUUCUAAUGAAAUUUAGUGUUCAAAUUGAGAUGUGUUAUAAGCAUAAAAUAUGCUCCAUAUUUCAAAGACUUAAUACAAAAAAGAAAGUAAAAUAUCUCAUGAAUACUUUUUAUAUUGAUUAUGUGUUCAAGUGAUAAUAUUUUGUAUAUACUGAAUGUAAAUAUAUUGUUAAAGUUAAUUUAAUCUGUUUAUUUACACACAUAGCUUACAUUUUACUUCUGUUGGACGGUGCUGGCUUAUAACAUCACUCCUUUUGGUCCAUGGAUUCAUUUCAGAAGAGCUGUAGAAAUAGCAGCUCUGAGAAUGGUGGACUCUGCAGAAAAGAGGAGUAUAAUUGUGUUUCUGGAACAGCCCAAGGCUCUAGAAUUGGAGGUCAGUGCAAGUCUUUGGUAUUGCCCCCUUUAGCUGUCUGUUAAGGGAAUUUGAGAAUUUAAGACCCAGCAUUUUUAAAUGGCACUGCUGCAGUAAUGAGGAGAUCAUGGAUUAAUUGGAGACGGUCAGGGUUGUUAGAGAUGGUUAGCUUUAGGGGUAGAUUAUUUAUUCUAAAAGGAUAGAAUGCUGGGGUGAAAUCAGAGUAAAACUGACUUGUGAACAGACUAAAAUCCAAACUCUGAGGAAAAAAUGGAUUCUAGAGCAAAAGCAGAAAGUAAAAUAUCUGUGGAGUAGGCAGACUAAAAGUAUGUAUGCUGAGUGAAAGUGUAAGGGGUCUAUAUAACAGAAUUUAUGGGCCGGUCCAUUUAUUUGUAAAUUUUAGUCUCCUGGAGCCAAAUUUUGGACUAAAAUACUGGUCCAGUAUAAGCAAGAAAGCACAUUCUUCUGUCUCUGUAUACUUUCUAUCAUAGGUCUUUUCCUCCAGAUGGGCCUGCUAAGGUUAUGCAGCAUGAGACUAUUUAGAGGUCAGUGUUUAAAGUAGGUAAAACAGUUACACCACCAAUUAAUGCUUCUCUGGGAGAAUCGGGGAAGAUUUGCGUAGGGCAGUGGUCCUUAGCUUUUUCUUGCCUUUUCAGCCAAUUUCUUUCUCCUUUAAAAAGUUUCCCGCUAAACUUUGGCACAAGUUAGUUUUAAAACACUCUUAAUAUAGUAAAGCUUUGCAAUAAAAUGCUAAUAUACAUUCUCUGUACCUCUGACAAAGCAGUAGUUGACAUUUGAGUAUCUUUUGUUGACAGUACAUUAUUAUAAUACCACAGUUCAGUCACAUUUGCAUGUAUUACAAUGUCACUGAGUUGGAUUAUGGUUUUCACAGUGGGGGGGAAAAAAUCACACCAGUAAAAGACUGAUGGAUUUAAAUGAACCUAUUUAAACUAUUUUAGUUUAAAAGUAUUUUCAAAUAUUUUGUAUGCCAGCAGCUUAUAAUACCUCCAAUUAUUUAAUAUAUAACCAGAUCCUUAAAGGUUCAAAAUCAUUUUUAUUUUCUGUUCAUAGAUAAGAGGGACAUGACAUAGUUUUUGUGUGUAUGUUUGUACUACACAAGAUUUAAAAGCAAGUUCUUUAGUAUACUAGUUUGCCAGAAUACUCGAUUUUCUAGGUGGUAAUAUUUGGUACAUACAUCGUGAAGAAAUUGUUCUCAGUUGUAUCAUUUUUAUCAGAGAAGAAAAUUUAAAAUCAAUUUACUCCCUGGAGGAAAACAUUUUACAUCACUAUUUCCUUUUCUCUCUCUUACUGUGCAGUAUAUUUUUCAUAUUGUAGCAUGAGCACCUGCAUUCACUUGUCUUAAAAGCAAAACAAUUCCAUUUUUGUAAGAAAAAUCUAUGGGAAAAUGUUUCCGAUAGAUUUGUUUUUUUAAAAAAUGUACAUUUGUAAAGAAUAAUUUCCAAGGAGAAACAAAACUGACAUUUUUGAAGCCUUUAUUAAUUAAUAUUUAUAAAUUAUAAUUUGGAAAACCCAUAUUUUUCUCGAAACUGCUUUAGAAUUCUGAGAGAAUAUUAAUUUCACUAUUGACAGAAUAACAAUUUGCUUUUUAUUACUUGGUCUCUUGUUUUUUAACCCCUAAUUUAGAUAGAAAAAAAAUUGAAAUGAGAGAAAAAUAAGGAAAUAAAGGAAAUAUCCUUUACUUAUUGUACCAAAAAUGUUUAGUUGUCUGGUUUUUGGUCUUGGCUAAUAGAGUGAAUUUCAGCUUUGUAGUACAUUACAAACAUUAAGUUCAUCUUUGUAUACUUCGCAUUUAGACAUUCAGUUUCACUGAAGAACAGUCUAAUAACUGAUAAGUUUAUCAGUGUUACUUAUUUGUUCCCAUACUUACCCUCCCUCGAGUAUCUCAAAGCAAGUAUUCGUCUUUGCCAAAGCGGACAGAACUUGUGGCCAGGAGGUGUCAGGUGGUAAUCUUUUUUAUCCUUUUGAUGGAUCAGCUAUCUUACAUUUUAUUCUCAAACUACCACAGUACCUUUGUUCAUUUAACAGAUGUUUAUAAUUUGGGUGAAAAUGUGCAGCUAUUUCCAGGAAUCUUAGGUUAUGGGAUCCAACUUUUUCUUUAAAAAAAUCUUCAUUGCCCUCUCGUGUUUCAAUUUUGUAUUACAUCAGUUGGCUAAGACCUAGGCAGUGACCUCUUUAACUUUCAGAUAUUUUUGCACUUUAGAGAAUGUUGUUUUAAUUUGUGUGUAGGUGGAUUAUUUCAUUGGAUAUGACUUUUCUGAAGAUAAGGUCAGUUUCAUAGUCAUAAAGGUUAGUAAUUGAGCUAGAAUCAUUAUACUCUUAUUUUUUGACUUCUGCUUAUCAAAAGAAUUGAUUCAUCUUCUGACUUAUUUGAAGUACAAUGCUAAUAUCUAAUUUACAUAUAAUGAGUCUUUGAAACUUGAGUAAAUGCCUAAUUGAAAACAUUAUUUUUCAGAUAUCUGUCAAGUUUCACUCAUAUUGAAAUGCCUUGAGAAUUUAUGGCCAACAUGGAAAAGAACUGAGCGUCAUGGUUUUUAAUAAGUUGGUAUUCUUAAGCCUGAAAUCCAAUUUCAGAACCUUUUUGUACUUUUUCAUUAAAGUAAGAAUCAUCCCUGAAGUGACUUCAGGAUACACCUCGAAGGUGCAGAUAAUUUCAAAGCAUGUGAUGUGUAUAUGUUGAUUUUUUUUAAAGGCAUUUCAAAGUUUAUCAAUGAUUCUUGCACCACCGUAAGGAUAGGAUUGACAUUAACUGUUGUGAAAAAAACCCUGCAAGCAUGCUAAGUACUUAAUCAUCAGUGUCAUUAGUUUGAGUACAUUCUUAGCGCUCAGAAUAAGAACAAUAAAAGUCUUUUUUUUAAA